rnacentral:rRNA from 1 species
UAAUACGGAGGGUGCAAGCGUUGUUCGGAAUUAUUGAGCGUAAGGCGGAUGUAGGCGGUCUGUUAAGUCGGAUGUGAAAUCCCUGGGCUCAACCCAGGAACUGCAUUCGAUACUGGCAAACUAGAGUCUCGGAGGGGGUGGCGGAAUUCCCGGUGUAGAGGUGAAAUUCGUAGAUAUCGGGAGGAACACCAGUGGCGAAGGCGGCCACCUGGACGAUGACUGACGCUCAGAUCCGAAAGUGUGGGGAGCAAACAGGAUUAGAUACCCUGGUAGUCCACACCGUAAACGUUGGGUGCUCGUCGUAGCGGGUAUUGACCCCUGCUGUGACCAAGCUAACGCAUGAAGCACCCCGCCUGGGGAGUACGGUCGCAAGACUA